UGGGGAAUCCUGGACAAUGGGCGCAAGCCUGAUCCAGCAAUGCCGCGUGGGUGAAGACGGCCUGCGGGUUGUAAAGCCCUUUUAGCGGGGAAGAAAGCCCUGGGUUAAACAGGCCUGGGGGGUGACGUUACCCGCUGAAGAAGCACCGGCCAACUCCGUGCCAGCAGCCGCGGUAAUACGGAGGGUGCGAGCGUUAAUCGGAAUUACUGGGCGUAAAGCGCGUGCAGGCGGUUCGGUAAGUUGGGCGUGAAAUCUCCCGGCUCAACUGGGAGAGGUCGUCCAAUACUACCGAACUUGAGAGCAGAAGAGGAAGAUGGAAUUCCCGGUGUAGUGGUGAAAUGCGUAGAUAUCGGGAGGAACACCAGUGGCGAAGGCGAUCUUCUGGUCUGUUUCUGACACUCAGACGCGACAGCUAGGGUAGUAAACGGGAUUAGAGACCCCGGUAAUCCUAGCCGUAAACGAUGGAACUUGGCGUUGGUGGGUUAAACUCCAUCAGUGCCGAAGCAAACGCGAUAAGUUCACCGCCUGGGGACUACGGCCGCAAGGUUA
rnacentral:rRNA from 1 species